GGAAAUAGCUCAAUCACUAGAGCAUGAGACUCUUAAUCUCAGGGUCAUGGUUUCGAGCCCCAAGAUGUCCA